rnacentral:ncRNA from 1 species
GAUAGAUUUAAUUUUAGUCUAAAUAUUAAUAUAAAAAAUUAUGCAUAUAAAUUAAAAUUAAUAACUAAAAAUUUAGUGUAAAAUAUUUUUAAAUAAGGAAACUUAAUUAAAUUUUUUAUUUUCAAAUUUUUGUGCCAGAAGUUUCGGUUAAACAAAUAAUUAAUUAAUAAUUAUUUAGUAGUUAUAAAUAAAUUUAAGUUAAGAAAAAUUGUGUUAAAUUUUUGGUUAAAUAAUUAAUAAAUAAUUUAAUUUCUUUAAAAUUUUAAUUUAUGAAAUAAAUAAAAAGACUAGGAUUAGAUACCCUAUUAAAAUUUAAUAUAAAAACUAAAUUAUUAAAAUUUUGAUAUUUAAAAUUAAAAAAUAUGGCAGUAUAAUAACUUAAUUAGGGAAUUUUGUUUAUGAAUUGAUAAUACACAAAAUACCUUACUUUAUUUCUAAUUUAUUUAUUUCCGUUUGAAAAGUUAAUAUUAAAUUUAAUUUUAAAUAAUUUUUUUUUUUUAAUUCAGGUCAAUAUAUAGUUUAUAAUAAAGCUUAAAUGAAAUACAUUAAAUAAAUUAUAAAUUAGAUUGUUUACUUAAAAUAAUCAUGAAACAGAACUUAAAAGUAAUAAAAAUUUAGAAUAAUUUUAUGAAUGAGUAAUUUUAUAUGUACAAAUUGCCCGUCAUUCUUAUAAAUUAGACAAGUCGUAACAUAGUAAAUGUAUUGGAAAAUGUAUUUAGAAAAUA